UCGUAAAAGCCAGAACUAGUUUGCAUCGUGGAUUCUAUUGGAUUGGACUCCGAUCUACUGGUGCUCAAAACUGGAAAUGGGUAGAUGAAACUAUCUGUGAUCCCAGCAACAAAGCCACAGUAUGCUUUAUCAGUAAAAGCACUACAACAGGUCAAUACUGUGCAAUGAUUGGAAAUGUAAAUAAUCGAUGGGAUAUUCAGUUGUGUGGUAAUAAUUACCGAUGGGUCUGUGAGAGAAAGAUAUCCACUGUUUAAAUAUAUUAUUGGAGAAGGCAAUAACAAUAUCAGCAACAUAACCUAAUUGUGAUAGCUUUGAAACUCCAAAGGAAAUGCUGUUAGAUAAAAAAAUGAAGCCUGUUAAUUGCCAAUGCUGCGUUGACUGCACCGUGAUUAAAUGUUAUCAUUUUUAGCUGCCUCAGUCAUUUUGACAUUGCAAAUGCCAGUGGUCAUCUAGUAGCAAAUCAUGCCACAACAGAAAUACUUCAGUCUUACUGCCUUUCCAUACCCACAGAGAUGCCCAGGCGAAUAACAUUACAGCAUGUUACAGAAGUUCAAGUCGCUUAACUGCUGAUGGCAGAUGAGGUAUUUCCAUUAAUGUGCUCCUCCCUAGGAUCAAUGACAUUCUUCCCAUAACUGAUCUGCUCUGUGCAAAAAAAAAAAAAAACACUGCUGCCAUUUAAACAGCUGAGAAUAAAAUGAUUACGUUUACCAACUUAUCCAGCCAUCAGGAACACCACUGCUGUACUCUAAAUUCUAGCAGCCUGUUGUUGUUACUACUAAAGCCUCACUUUUACUUAAUACCUUCUCCUGCAAACUUGAAUGAGGGAUGUUUCCCCCAUUGCUCAGCAGAUUACAAUCAGAAAUCAAGUCUAAACACUCUGCACAAGCCUUCCUUCAGUCUUGCCACUUGUGAGAGGACUUUUUUUUAACCAGUGCCUGCUAUGUGGAAUGACAUACCAGAAAGAAAUUAUGAUAGUAGACCAACUCUACCUUUCAAUGAAUCACUCAGAGAUUACCUGUUCAAAUAAAAUAAGUGCAAUUAUUACAAGUAACUAUAGGGACACCAGAUAAUUGUCAAAGAUGAAAGUCUUAACAUCACUGCUUAUUGGUCUGCAAAUCUAACCAAACAUGAAUUCAGAUAAAUUUUUUUUUACAACCUUUUUAGAAUCCUAAUUACUCUAAAAAUAAAAAUAUCUUAACACAGUUUUCACUGUCUCUAAUUUCUGAAAGAAAACCCGUAGUGUGUAACUUUAUUAAUUUUUUUUUUGUAUUUUAACAGUGAUAACAAAUGCUAACUGAUAUAAACCUGUUUAUACAUUUUCUUUUUUUUGUGUUAUUUUCCAUUUCCUCUCAUUUAUUCUGCUCUUCAUGCCAACUCUCAGUCUUCAUUACUCUCUAAACAUAAAGGUUCUUUACUGGAUUGUUUUCUAAAAGUGCCUGUGAUUUAUAAUGAAGGCCUCUAUUUUCCUCCCUUCCUUUUCUGAGUGAUAGUUAACUUAAGAACUGAGUUCUCAACCUGAAUGGUUUAAUCUAUGUACAUCUGUAAGUACUACAAAAUGCAGUUAUGUUAUGUUUUUCUCUAAUUCACUCUGGUUUUGUACAUGUUUACAAUUUCUAGUUACUUCAUAUAAAAUCUUGUUUUGUUAUUGGAGUUUGACCUGAUUUGCUACUGUUAUCUGAUGGAAAUGCCUUUAGGUGUUCUGUAUUGUUGUACCUCAAUCAGUUUGUAUUUGUGUUUGUAUUACUAGUAUGGACCAGGUCACAGAUGGAAAGAACCACAGAUCAGUUCAGUUACCUGCUUAACAAAGAAUAAAUGAAUGAUUGAAUAAAUGAAUUAAUACACAAAUAACAUAAAUAAAAAAAUAAACAAG